GAAAAUAUUCUUAUUUGGAAAAAGAAAACUUUUUGGAUAAAUUUUUGAAACUUUGAGCAAGCUAUCAAAAGUUGUCUGCCUCCUCCUUCUCCCCAGCCCCAAAAUACACAGACUUAACAACAGAAAAAUAUAACUGUUAUCCUAUGUUAAUUUAUGAAAGCAGAUAAAUAUGGGGUAUAUAAUAAGAUAAUUUCAUUAUUUAAUUCAAUGAAUUGCUUGUUUUAGUGCUCUGUAAGUAUUUGAACAAGUAAACUUUUUGAGUUAACA
rnacentral:lncRNA from 1 species